rnacentral:lncRNA from 1 species
AAAUUCUCCUUGGGGGAAAAAAGUGUCCAUUAUUAUACUUCCCCUGAACCUGAAUGCCUGGAUAGAUAGCGAUUGUGACACCCUUAAAUAAAUCUGUUUUGAGUGUUUUUUGAGCCCACACCAAUAAUGUUUUAAAGUUACCCCCUUGGAACUCACUGAUACCUAUCAUUCCUCGGGCAGUCUGCUGAGUUAAAAAUGUAGCAUUCCAUUUGUAUUUAUUUCCCCCUUGCCAAAAAGAUUUUUCUAAUAAUGCUUGUACUGGCCAGGGAUGAGCUCCACAACACUAUUCAGUUUUCUUGUACUGAGGAUUCCCCCACCUCCCUCACAUUAUUGACUCCU